rnacentral:rRNA from 1 species
ACGGCUUCGGGAUUGCAAUGAGCCGAAUUUACACCCCUUAGCGAAGAUCGAUUGGAGGGCAAGUCUGGUGCCAGCAGCCGCGGUAAUUCCAGCUCCAAUAGCGUAUAUUAAAGUUGUUGCAGUUAAAAAGCUCGUAGUUGGAUUUCUGGGAGGGUGCCAAUGUCCGCCGACGUGCGUGCGCAGCGGCGCCCUCUCAUCCUUCUGUUAACGUCUCUCGGCAUUCACUUGCCGGUGGCGGGCUCAGAUAUUUUACCUUGAGAAAAUUAGAGUGUUUCAGGCAGGCUAGGCCGGAAUACAUUAGCAUGGAAUAAUGGAAUAGGACUUCGGUCUCUUUGUUGGUUUGAGGGACUGCAGUAAUGAUUAAUAGGGAUAGUUGGGGGCAUUAGUAUUUAAUUGUCAGAGGCGGAAUUCUCGGAUUUGUUAAAGACUAACUUAUGCGAAAGCAUUUGCCAAGGAUGUUUUCAUUAAUCAAGAACGAAAGUUAGGGGAUCAAAGACGAUCAGAUACCGUCCUAGUCUUAACCAUAAACUAUGCCGACUCGGGAUCGGGGGCGCGAACUAUCCGCCUUCG